GUGGAGCUGAGUAUGCCACACAUGGAUAUGAUUAUUCCCCGUAUGUUCUUUUUGGCAAUCCACUUCAUCACUGACUCAUCUGUGUAUGGGGUAGAGCCAAGGUGGCAUAAGUGUGUGGCUACGGAUUACAUCACGGAUUAUGUGCUACUUUAUUAGUUGAAGUCUCUUUGUUCGGUUCCAAAGUUUGGCCACAACUAGCUUGAUUCGGAGACAUUUCGUAUUAGGAGUUAAACUUUGGUUUGGAGGCAUUGAGCUUUG